CACGUAGGGCGCAAGCGUUGUCCGGAAUUAUUGGGCGUAAAGAGCUCGUAGGUGGUUUGUUACGUCCGCUGUGAAAUCCUAGGGCUUAACCCUGGGCUUGCAGUGGAUACGGGCAGACUAGAGGUAGGUAGGGGAGAAUGGAAUUCCUGGUGUAGCGGUGAAAUGCGCAGAUAUCAGGAGGAACACCGGUGGCGAAAGCGCUCUGCUAGGCCGCAACUGACACUGAGGGACGAAAGCUAGGGGAGCGAAUGGG
rnacentral:rRNA from 1 species